AUUUGGGUUCUUCUAUACUGCCUACAAGAUGGUAAAAGAUGGAGAAGCCUGGCCUUCCUUUGCAUUUGGUCUAGGGCCCUGUCUGACAUCCUGCAGAAGAAAGUGACUUGCUUCAGGGAAGUCAAGACAAAGGCAGAGAUGAGUCUCUGGACACAACUUGUUCAGGCCUGAGGAUCUGGUGUUGGUUUUAGAAAUGAGUUUUUCAGACCAAGAAUUAUUAGGACAAGCUCUUGAAGAUGCCUUGGAGAUAAUACAGCAACAUUCUGAUGGUGAUUUUCUUUA